CCAACAGGGAUUGCCCUAGUAACGGCGAGUGAAGCGGCAACAGCUCAAAUUUGAAAUCUGGCGCAAGCCCGAGUUGUAAUUUGUAGAGGAUGCUUCUAGGUAGCGACCGGUCUAAGUUCCUUGGAACAGGACGUCAUAGAGGGUGAGAAUCCCGUAUGUGACUGGCCCGCACCUUCUACGUAGCUCCUUCGACGAGUCGAGUUGUUUGGGAAUGCAGCUCUAAAUGGGAGGUAAAUUUCUUCUAAAGCUAAAUACCGGCCAGAGACCGAUAGCGCACAAGUAGAGUGAUCGAAAGAUGAAAAGCACUUUGGAAAGAGAGUUAAAAAGCACGUGAAAUUGUUGAAAGGGAAGCGCUCACAACCAGACUUCUAGGCAGUGUUCCGCCGGUCUUUUGACCGGUCUACUCUCUGUCUCGAGGCCAACAUCAUCUGGGACCGCUGGAUAAGACCUUAGGAAUGUAGCUCCCCUCGGGGAGUGUUAUAGCCUCUGGUGAUGCAGCGAGUCUCGGGUGAGGUCCGCGCUUCGGCAAGGAUGUUGGCGUAAUGGUUGUCAGCGGCCCGUCUUGAAACACGGACCAAGGAGUCUAACAUCUAUGCGAGUGUUCGGGUGUCAAACCCCUACGCGUAAUGAAAGUGAACGGAGGUGGGAAGCGUAAGCUGCACCAUCGACCGAUCCUGAUGUCCUCGGAUGGAUUUGAGUAAGAGCAUAGCUGUUGGGACCCGAAAGAUGGUGAACUAUGCCUGAAUAGGGUGAAGCCAGAGGAAACUCUGGUGGAGGCUCGCAGCGGUUCUGACGUGCAAAUCGAUCGUCAAAUUUGGGUAUAGGGGCGAAAGACUAAUC
rnacentral:rRNA from 2 species